rnacentral:lncRNA from 1 species
UGCAUCACCAGUUACACGCUACGACUGACACUCCGGACCCUGCCCGGCUACACCGCUAUAACCCAAGCAAGGGCAACCGGACCGCCCGCCGCACGCAAAACCCACAGCCACGACCAUUGAGAUUUCCACUGUAUCCGGGGCCACGCCGCAUGCGCCCGCCAAGCAACCACCACCACUCGCCUGUAGUGCGUGGCUGUUUGUUGAGAAACGGGGCAGCAGGCAAAGCACACAGCUCCACGCAGAAAGCCGGCAUACACUCAACCCGCACCGAAUAAUAGCAUCUGUCUCUAGCCGUGCUGCCGCAUGACACACCCAGUUACUGAACACAGUAGUGACUUGCGUGGCCCAACCACGCCCGCGCGGUUGUCGCCCGCCCCGCCCGAGCUGUGCGGGGUGGCUUCCCCUUCCCCCGCGCGCCUGCAGAAGACCUCUUCCCCCGCAGCCCGCGGUGACCACUGCUGCCCCCGCACCCACUCACGACACGGCCGCUGCCAGUCCAACGCGCCACGCCGCGCUUAGGCCCGAGCGCCACCAGCGUCCGCCGCUGCCGCUGCUGCUGCCGCCUCCUCCAACGCCGUUGCUGCUACUGCCGCAGUCGCCGCGACUACGCCGCUGCUGCUGCCGCCGAUGCCGCCGCGCCGGGGAGCGCCACCACCACGCCAAGCCGGCCCGGGCCCGGGCCCUCUGACGAGCAACCCAAACCCGAAGCCGGAGACGCCGCAGGUGCUGCUGAUGGCGGGAGCCGCUUACGAGGCCUCCUCCUUGGCAGCCUCCUUGGCCUUCUUGGCGCGGGGGCCCACCUGCCGUACGUUCAUGCGCUCCAGGCGCAGCUUGGCGUAGGCGGUGGCCUUGAUCUCGGCCAGCUCCUUGCCCGCGGUGGCCUUCAUCUCGCUGGUGACCUUGACGGUCUCCAGCGCCGGCGCGGCCUUGACCAGGGGCAGGACCACGGCGCCCUUGACCUGGGCGACCGCGUUCGCCUCGGCCAGAGGGGUCUCGAAAGCCUUCGGCUUCUUGACGUUGCGCGGGAAGACGACCAGGUUGCUGCGGUAAGCCUUCAGACGCUGAGCGUUCUCCUGCAGGCUCUCCAGCGACUUGUUGCGGCGGCGGUGGUCGAUGGCGAUGCCCAGGCUGGCCGCCAUGCGCACAGGGAUCCCAGCCUCCUUCAGCUCGUCCAGGGUGAAGCCCUUGCCAAUGCGCUGCUUGGUGUUGUACUUCAGGGUCUGGCCGCGAACAAUGGGGCGCAGCAGGCCGGCGGCCGGGCGAGGGAACUGAGCCUCGGCCUUCUUAGCGCGAGCAGCCCGGCGGCGCUCCUUGCGAGCAGGCUGGUUGAACCAAGUCUUCACAUAGAACUGCCACUUCUUCUUGAAGUGGUUGUUCGGGACAACGUUGUUGUGCCGCACCAUUUUUGCUCAGUGACUGCAGUGAGUGUGGCGGCGGCGCCUGGAAAGAGGGAGUGUAUGUGCAGGCAGGGCGUGUAUAUCGGCGCGGCCAUCGGGCGCUGCACGGCAGCGCGAUGCUGCGAGUUUGCCUGCGCUCGCUGCCCCCCGAUUUCGGCUGCCACAAACCUUGCCCCCUGCGCGCUCUGCACAUACUAUUGAAACCUCCCCACAAAGGCCUAUCUAGCCAUGAAUUUCUUAGGGCCUGCCUCGCUGCCCUGGAGAAAUCAGGAGGUCGCUCCUUGCUGGAGCCCUUAAUUUCACCCAUUGCUGGCACGAACGGGGUUAUAACGAGCUAAGGGUGUAUUCCUAAUUUUUAGAGGCCUGAAAGGCGCCUUCCCCGGGUUGAGGCAUUCUGUAUUUGGGUUCGGUGCGGACAGGAAAGGCAGGCAUGUGGAACCUUUUCCUGCGUAAUCUUAGGUGCAAAUAGCGCCUGAAAUGCUUGGCCAAGCUUUUGGGUCCGCCUUCGGCGGCACGAAUGCUGGCAAGAAUGGCCGUCGCGGUGUUGCGAACAACGUGUCGACGGCAAGGGGUAGUCUGCAAUGGCUGUGGGAGGCUACUCAGGGGCACUGAGCGCAUCGGUGCGCGAACAGGCGCUUGCACCGGGGGUUUACUAGUGACCGGGUGCCACAGACUCCGCAGACCCCGACUCCCACGCCACUCCUUCCCUGCUCCGUGCCAAACGCCUGUCCAUGUCAUGGAGUCACCUGCUUCUACUGUGCUGCCACACAGCUGUAAGCACGCACGGUUCAGGCCUACGGGGCACGGCGUGUGAGCAUGCGCGGGCAUGGGCGCGGGCGUGCGUGCCUGCGUGGCAGCCUGCCCCCGGCCGCAUUGUGCUGCCACGCACAGUCACUUCUAGCCCAGAUCCAGCUCCAGUCAGCCAGCAAGCCCAAGGUCCCAUCGGCCCAUCCCACCUAGCAUCUGUGUGUAUUUGGGGGGGGCGGCACCGUGCCGCCUGUGCCCUGCAAGCCCUACCCUGUAGCUUGGCCCUGCUGCCCCCCCUGCCCCCCUGCCCUACCUGUGGCCUGGCCCCGCUGCGGCUGCGCCAAGCUCUUCCCCCGCUCCAAGGCCCCACGGCCCCACCCAUGCCACGCCACCUCAGCUCACAAGUGCCCGUGGCUCCUGCAUCCCAAGCGCUGCAACACCCGCGGCUUGCCCGCCACGGACGCACGUCCACGCAUCUCAUCCCCACAAUCCCCAGCCAACACAGCAGGGGUUAUGUGCCCGAGCCCAACGAGAUAGGUCCCAAUAGUCAAGGCAUUGCCGCAGCAAAGGUGAGCAGGCAUGGCCUUUUCCUCCCCUCAUGCCUCGGCUACGUAGCUGCAAGCCGAGCCGCCAGCUACCAAUAGUCAGCAGAUCAUCGCAGCAGGGGCGAGCCGGCGUGGCCUUUGCACUCCUCAGGCUAGCUGCACGCCGAGCCACCGAGCGUAGCCAAAUUCCUCAGCCGACGUACAAAGCAGGCACGGUCUUUCCAGUUUCCACCCAUCUGCUAAGAGGUUGCAGCCCGAGCCGCUGAGAGCGCAACCACCCACAUUCCGGCCCACGUCAUACAUGCCCCUGUCCCCGUGCGCACACGCUUCCUUCCGACCUCGGCUUUCCUCCAGCAGACGUGCUCCUGAACUGCUCCUGAACUCACACGGAGUGCCGUGCGUGCCUUGCUGUUCGUUUCGCCGAACCGCGCUCUGCCCCCAUACACACGCGUCUAAAACCCUGAGGCCAGCGCACAUGCGUGCCUUCUGGGCGGCAUUGACAGCAGCCAAGCCCUGGGGUCCUCCUGUGAAACACAUUACUUCCAGCCAUCCUAACGGACGCACACUCCCCACAGCACAGAAUCAGCGUUACCCCCAGCCAAGGCCCGGCAUAAUCUCAAGGCAGGCAACGGAGCGCCUGCAACCACCUACAUCUACCGAUAGAAAACUCCAUGCUAUCGUGGACCAGAGUUGAUCGUUGUGCCUUCAGUGUCUUUUAAUACCGUACUAUCGCACCCGCCCCGACCAUGGUGCGCAUCAAACCGGUGCGCUGAGGGCGGAGGGCUGAGGCAGCCGCACCUGCAUCCGCCACGGCAAGGCACGGCACGGCGUGUGCUCUCCCGUGCGGGAUGCCACGUGGGCCCGAACGUCUGGCUGGGGUCUGGCGGUGCGCCCACACCCCGGCCUCUUUCCACACAUACAAAUGCACUCGCCCACAGACACCCGUCCCCAACACGCUGCCCAGCCGCUCCAAGCUCCAGCCGCUUCAUGCUCAAGAUGGCGAUCCACCCAGACGCUCAGGCCUCCCUAGCAGUUCAGCUCGACAGACGCCCGGGCCGCCGUAGUACUUCGGCCGCGCUAGCUGUUCAGGCCGCCCUAGCAGUUAUUGACGAUGCCCUAAGCAACUCAAUGCAAACAGUUCAUCCGCCCCUACAGUCCAGCCGCCCUAGCAGUUCGGCUGCGCUAGCUGUUCAGCCGAUCAAGCCGCCCAGCUCUCGCAUGUGUUGCAGGUCCCAUGGGCGGGCACGGUGGUGGGCGGAGUUGGCGCGGACGACUUGUAUCCGGCGCAUGUGCCGGGCGGGCUUGCGGCAGCAAUCUCCCUCCGUCCCACCCGCGCGCGCGCGCGCUCCCUCCGAAGGCAGCCGCUCGGGCGUCGGGGCGGGUCGGCCACGCGCCCACGGGUCGCAACGCACGGAUCCAAAACGGAACCUCCUGCGGUCACCAAGUCCGGAUUCCGUGCAGAUUUCAGCAUGCGUGUGCUUUAAAUCAUCAUUCAGCUCACGUCAUGUGGGGUGUGGCAUCGCGGGCGUGUUAAUUAUUACCGUACGUACUUGCCCCCUGCUGUGUCGAGGAUGGACAGCAGGGGGGCGACGCAGCAGGCCCGGAUUGGGGCUACUGCUGCACGGACGGCACACACCUCGCAUAAACAAAGCGCACACGUACCGUAAAUAGGCGGCUGCGCGCGGACCACCCCACCCGCCCCACCGAACCCCACGACCCAUCCCCGUCAUCGCCCGCAGGCGUCACUGGCCACUGUCGUACACACCCUGUCGUACCAUGGGGCUCGGCAACGUCGUAAACACGUUGUUUCAUACCCUGAAAGCAGCUGGGUGUGAGGCCGGCUGCGCCUCACCCCGCACGAAGGUGCCAGAACAGGAUCACAGGAUUUUUGCUCUGUUGUACGGCUUCGCCCGUGGUGACCGGCUCUCGCCCGCCAGCCAGCCAGGCUCCGAGAGCGCUGCUGGCGGCCGGCCGUGUUGUAUCCCUUGGCUUGAGGCUGGCGCUGGGGCUGGGGCUGGGGCUGGGGCUGGGGCUGGGGCUGGGGCUGGGGCUGGGUUGGGGCUGGGGCUGGGGCUGGGGCUGGGGCUGGGGCUGGGGCUGGGGCUGGGAGGAGGUGAAGGCGUGUGGGUGCCGGUGUUCGUGUCGGCGGAAGGAGGCGGGCGCGAAGGACGCGACAGACGGGCGCCGGCGCCGGCUGCAACAGGCAGGGCGAGAUGGGUCAGGCGGGGUCAGGGCAGGUUGGCGCAGCCCCGUAGUGUGCAGCAGGGGGACAUAGGGGACACACAUGGGGGCGGAGGUAUGGGCAACGGAGUGGGCCCUGGGCUGGCUGUGGUUUUAGUGCGGCGUGCGGGAAAGAAGACAGCGCUUCGCAUGGUUGUGGCAGCAGGGGGGGUUUGGUGGGGUGAGGCGUGUGGUACUCACCAGCGUUUGCGGGUGCAACCGUGCCCAACAGCAAUACGGCCGGUGUGCCGACCGCGAGAGCUCCGAGCGCGAUCGCCUCCCGGCGAUUGAUUGAAGCCAGCAUCUUUUCAUACUUGUGAGGAGAUCCUGCUACAAGUAUUCGACAUGCUCGCGGCGCCGGCUGCGCACGCGACGGAAGUAAGGAAUUCUGGGCUCGGCAUCCCGGGUGUUUCGCGACGGAAUACUGCAGCGCCCCCAAGCGGCACGGCAGCGGCAUUUUGUGAGUCGAAGUGCAAUUAAUAAGAACAGUGGAAGUGGCGUGCCUUUGUAGUCGACAGGAUUCUGCCAUCUGUCGCUUUCAUGGCCAGGCAUGGUCCCCUGGCCCACCGGGAGUUGCACAUGGUCCCACUGCAGUGGUCCCACUCCCAGGCUUCUUGACAAUACUAUUUCCCACCAUUCUGUUGCAUUGACACCCCGUUACCCCCCGUCGUGACAGGCUUGCGCCGUGGCGGAAGCGUGUCAGUGAGACAGGCGUAAGGCCACUGGGCCAGCCUUCCGCCCAAACCUUUGCCCCCGUCUGCCCUCAUGCCGCGCCGGAGACCCCGCCCGCCUGUUCUGUUGCACAUGGGUGCAGUACCUCAUCAGGAGGACCGACAGAGCGAGUCCCAACCGCCAUAGCAGUACUAACCGCCAGCACUCGCCCGCAGCAGGGGCACCUAUCGCACCUGAAGCACCAUUCGGCGGCCUCCGUAAUUAUGUGUGCCCAAAGCACACUGUCCCCCCGCAACGUCGCGCCCAACAAUAUUCGACCCCCUCCCCCCCCCCCCGCCAUGCAGUCCAGCCCGUCCACCGGCAACCCACCGCCGCCGCUUGGCUCGGCGCCCCCAUGCUGGCGGCUCCACCCUCCACCCGCCAUUCACCACACUGCAACACUGCCGGGCACAGACCUAACCCCAGCCCUGCCCUUGCUCUCCCCAUGCUCAACCGCGUCACACCACGGCCCACAUCAGUGCAUCGCAGUCUGCGCGGCAGCACCCACUAGCGAACCCGCUCACCCUCGCACAUGCACCCGCUUCGCGUGGGGCCCUGGGGCCCUUGGGCUGCCCAUCGCUGUCCACACACACACACACACACACACACACACACACACACACACACGCACACACACACACACACACACACACACACACACACACACACACACACACACACACACACACACACACACACACACACACACACACACACACACACACACACACACACACACACACACACACACACACACACACACACACACACACACACACACACACACACACACACACACACACACACACACACACACACACACACACACACACACACACACACACACACACACACACAACCGUAUGCCGUCGCGUUGCUUUAACGCACACACUGUCUUUAACACAGAACGGUGUGAGCCGCCACGGCAUACACCUCGCUCACCACGCGCCCGACCCGCCCCACCCCAAGCUGCCGCCGCCGCCGCCGCCGCCGGCGCCGCCGCCGCCGCCAGCACCACCACCGCCCCAGCCGGCUCCCAUGGCAGUGACCGACCCCCCGCCGCCGCCGGCGCCGCCGCCGCCGCCGUGGUGGCGGUGGCGGUGCGCGCCGCCGGCGCCGCCGCCGCCCGCCGCCAGCUCCGCCACCCCCUCAAUGAGCGCCAUCUCCGCCGCCCGGUGCAUCAGGGCCAAGGCGUCCGCAGACCAGGCCAGCGGCUCGGCGCCAGCGGUGGCGGCGGCGCCAGGGGCGGGUGCGAUGCCGCCAGGGGCAGUUUCAGGCGCUGCUGCCGGGACGGCGGUCGCGCCCGCAGGGCCGCCGGUGUCGCCAGCGGCGGCGGCGGCGGCAUCGGCCGGCGGCUGUCGCUGCCGCGUCGCCGCCAGCCGCGCUGCCUCGGCGGCGGCGGCCUGCCCCGCCGCCUCCGCCGCCGCUAGUGCUGAGUAACGCCGCGCUGGCGACGCCGACGCCACGCCCAUGGCCGGCGGCGGGAUCCUGGCGGCGUUGGCAGCGGCAGUGGCGGCGCCGCCGCCUGCCCCCGGCGCCGCCACCGCCGGCGCCGCCGGUGCGACCUGAGCGGUAUCAGCAGCACCGCCGCCUGGCGACGAGGGUGCCACGGGGGCGGCAGCGCCUGGCACCGCCGCCGCCGCCGCCACUGCUACUGCCGGGCCAUUUGCGCCGCCGCCGCCGCCGCUGCUACUGCCGCCGGCGGCGGCUGCCUCGCGCUGGGCCUGCACCGCCUCCCAGGCCUCGGCGAACAGGCCCAAGAACGCCGAGCGCGGCAGGCAGGUCGGCAACUCGCUGAAGCUACAGCCGGCUAGGCGGCUGCUGCCGCCGCCGCUGCUACUGCCGCCGCCGCCGCCUAGCACGGUCACAAACUCAUCCACAUACUCCUCGUCCAACUCCUGCUCCCCAUCAUCGUCAUCGUGGUCGCCGGCGGCCUCCGCCUCCGCCCCACUCGCCUCCGCCGCCUCACUCGCCGCCCCGCCCUGCAGCUUGCUGCCGCUGCUGCCGCCGCCGCCGUACAGCACGGCGCCAAUGUCGCGGCACAGCGCCGCCGCCGCCGCCACGUCAGCCACCUCCAGCAGCCGCGGCUGUAGCGCCGCCAGCCAGCCUGCGUCGGGGCGCACCGCCGCCGCUACAGCCUCCGACAGCGCCGCCGCCGCCGCCACGUCCGUGGCGGCGGCGGCGGCGGUUGGCGCAGCAGCGGCGUCAGCUUCAGUGCUAGGUUUGGCGGCAGCGGUGGCUGCAGCAGCUGCCGCUGCUGCUACUGCCGCAGCGGCGGCGGCGCCUGCUACAGCCGAGUCGCCGGGCUGCCGCCACCAUACGGGCACCUGGAGGUGGUAGAUCCGGAUGAGGGCUGUAGCAAGCCCCGGGUUGGACAGCCGCGCAGCGUGCGCCAGCGCCGCCGGCUGUAGCAGCGGCCGCAGCCGCGGCGGCAGUAGCGCCGCCAGCAGCUCGCAGCGCAGCGCGCCGCCGAACGCCAUCGCCGCAACGUCGGACGGCGGCGGCAGCGCCGGCGGCGGCUGUAGCAGCUCCAGCAACUCCGCUACUUCGUCGCCGUCGUCGCCAUUAUCGCCAGUGGCGGCGGCGGCGGCGGCGGCGGCGGCGGGGGCGGCAGCGGCAGUAGCACGCGGCAGCGUCUCUGACGCCGCCUCGCCGCCGCGACCGCCGCUCAGCGACCAGCGCUGGCCGCUGUUGCUCAGCCUGCUGAUGCUGCCGCUGUCCGUGGCAGUAGCACGCCUGCCGGCGGCGCCCUCGCCGCCGCCGUGUUGCACACCCGCAGCCGACGCCACCGCUGCGUCGGCGGCGCCGGUGUAAGCGGCGCGCAGCGUCGCCGCCGCCAGCUUGACGCGCGUGUCAAAGGGGAGGCGGCGGCGGACGCGGCACGACAGAUCAUGACAGCUCGGGCACUGGUGGCCGGACCAGUAAGAGCAGGCCGGC